GGAGUUAGCCGGUGCUUCUUCUGUGAGUGAUGUCCUUCCUGCCGGCUAUUAACCCGCAGGCCUUCUUCCUCACUGAAAGUGCUUUACAACCCGAAGGCCUUCUUCACACACGCGGCAUGGCUGGAUCAGGGUUGCCCCCAUUGUCCAAUAUUCCCCACUGCUGCCUCCCGUAGGAGUCUGGGCCGUGUCUCAGUCCCAGUGUGGCUGAUCAUCCUCUCAGACCAGCUACGGAUCGUCGCCUUGGUGAGCCGUUACCUCACCAACCAGCUAAUCCGACAUAGGCUCAUCCGAUAGCGCGAGGCCCGAAGGUCCCCCGCUUUCCCCCGUAGGGAGUAUGCGGUAUUAGCCUGGGUUUCCCCAGGUUAUCCCCCACUACCGGGCAGAUUCCUAUGCAUUACUCACCCGUCCGCCGCUCGCCACCAGGGAGCAAGCUCCCCGUGCUGCCGCUCGACUUGCAUGUGUUAGGCCUGCCGCCAGCGUUCAAUCUGAGCCAGAAUCAAACUCUGA
rnacentral:rRNA from 1 species